AGAAACACAAAGGAAGAACAAACAACAGCAGACCUGCUGGUCCUUACGAGGCUGUUUGUGACAAGCUACACUAACUAUCUAAACAAAGGUGGCAGGAAAGGAAAAAGAACCAUGCAGCAAGAGGAGGAGGAGAGGGAGCAGUAGGAGGAGGAGGAGGAGGAGGAGGAGGAAUUAGACUUAGAAAAGGACACACACACACACACACACACACACACACACACAUACACACACACACAUACAAGAACACAACAGCAAGGACUGGAAGAAGCCUUGAAAUAUACAUACAUACAUAUAUACAUACCGUACGUAGGCGGUGGCUGAGUGGUUAGCGUGCUGGACUCAACAUUCACGGCGCCGUGGACCACGUCGGUUCGAGUCCCCGCGCUACCACCUGGGAUUUUUGAGUCACCGCUGAGUGGCCUAAGACUACCCACAUGCUGUCCUGAAGACCACCCAUCAACCCGGACUCUAGAAGAAACCGUCCAGUGAAUCAAGAAUGAGUUCCGGGGGGCAGCAUGAGCCGAGCAUAACCGGCGCCACUAUAAAAAAAAAUGCCUGCGCCACGACGGGUUUGGGCCGACCAUCUGGACCCUGAAGAAAGCCUACCGGCGCUAUAGGCGGGGAUGUAAAAAAAAAAAAUAAAUAAAUAAAAAUA